GACGAACGCUGGCGGCGUGCUUAACACAUGCAAGUCGUACGGUAAGGCCCUUUCGGGGGUACACGAGUGGCGAACGGGUGAGUAACACGUGAGUAACCUGCCCACAACUUUGGGAUAACGUUAGGAAACUGGUGCUAAUACUGGAUAUGUGCUCCUGCUGCAUGGUGGGGGUUGGAAAGCUCCGGCGGUUGUGGAUGGACUCGCGGCCUAUCAGCUUGUUGGUGGGGUAGUGGCCUACCAAGGCGGCGACGGGUAGCCGGCCUGAGAGGGUGACCGGCCACAUUCGGACUGAGAUACGGCCCAGACUCCUACGGGAGGCAGCAGUGGGGAAUAUUGCACAAUGGGCGCAAGCCUGAUGCAGCAACGCCGCGUGCGGGAUGACGGCCUUCGGGUUGUAAACCGCUUUCAGCAGGGACGAAGCUUUUUGUGACGGUACCUGCAGAAGAAGCACCGGCUAACUACGUG
rnacentral:rRNA from 1 species